rnacentral:rRNA from 1 species
UGGGGAAUAUUGCACAAUGGGCGAAAGCCUGAUGCAGCAACGCCGCGUGAACGAUGAAGGUCUUCGGAUCGUAAAGUUCUGUUGCAGGGGAAGAUAAUGACGGUACCCUGUGAGGAAGCCCCGGCUAACUACGUGCCAGCAGCCGCGGUAAUACGUAGGGGGCUAGCGUUAUCCGGAUUUACUGGGCGUAAAGGGUGCGUAGGUGGUCCUUCAAGUCGGUGGUUAAAGGCUACGGCUCAACCGUAGUAAGCCGCCGAAACUGGAGGACUUGAGUGCAGGAGAGGAAAGUGGAAUUCCCAGUGUAGCGGUGAAAUGCGUAGAUAUUGGGAGGAACACCAGUAGCGAAGGCGGCUUUCUGGACUGCGACUGACACUGAGGCACGAAAGCGUGGGUAGCAAACAGGAUUAGAUACCCUGGUAGUCCACGCUGUAAACGAUGAGUACUAGGUGUCGGGGGUUACCCCCCUCGGUGCCGCAGCUAACGCAUUAAGUACUCCGCCUGGGGAGUACGCACGCAAGUGU